rnacentral:rRNA from 1 species
GAUGAACGCUGGCGGCGUGCUUAACACAUGCAAGUCGAACGGAAAGGCUCCUGCUUGCAGGGGUACUCGAGUGGCGAACGGGUGAGUAACACGUGGGUGAUCUGCCCUGCACUUCGGGAUAAGCCUGGGAAACUGGGUCUAAUACCGGAUAGGACCACAUUUUGGAUGGUGUGGUGGAAAGUUUUUCGGUGUGGGAUGAGCUCGCGGCCUAUCAGCUUGUUGGUGGGGUAAUGGCCUACCAAGGCGUCGACGGGUAGCCGGCCUGAGAGGGUGUACGGCCACAUUGGGAGUGAGAUACGGCCCAGACUCCUACGGGGGGCAGAAGUGGGGAAUAUUGCACAAUGGGCGCAAGCCUGAUGCAGCGACGCCGCGUGGGGGAUGACGGCCUUCGGGUUGUAAACUCCUUUCGCUAGGGACGAAGCGUUUUUGUGACGGUACCUGGAGAAGAAGCACCGGCUAACUACGUG